UAUAAAUACACCAUUUGAUAUCCUUAUUUUCACACAAUCAAAGUAUUUUAAAGGAUAUUAGAAAAAUGGCUAGCAAAAUAACUAUUUGUGCUAUACUCUUUUGCUUUCUUCUCAUGUUUGCUUCUGAGAUGCAGAUAACAGAAGCAAAAUACUGUAGAAAGCCUAGUAAAGGUUGGAAUGGAAAAUGUUUUCCUAAAAAAUGUGACAAUUGGUGCAAGCAUAAGGAACAUGAAGCUUAUGGAGAUUGUUACAAGGGAUAUUGUUAUUGUUAUUAUAAAUGUUAAAAAAAAUAAAAUGAAUGGCACAAUAUAUAUGGCCAUAAGACUUUUCUUAUGGUAUAGUGUGUCUUAUACAAUAUAAUAAUGUAUGAUUGAAUAAAUAUCUGCGAUUACAUGAUUAAUAUCGCAACAAUUAUGAUUAUAAAUUAUUUAUGGUCUAAUUAAUAUUUGUAACUUGAUGUUUUAUAUGAAAGAUAUUGUAUUAUUAUAUAUGUUGGCAUGCAAUUAUUCUUGUGGGCA